UAGCAUAGAAAGGCGCUUGACUACUUCCUGAAGGAAGCACCAAUGUCUCUGCUAGAUGCACCAUGCCAUUGAGUGUUUCAGGUCAUGAUGUAUCUUGUGAUUGGUCUGUGUCAAUGGCUCAAAGCAAUGCAUACAUGU